GGGACUGUAGCUCAGCGGAAUUAGAGCGUAUGGCUUCGGACCAUAAGGUCGGGGGUUCAAAUCCCUCCAGUCUCG
rnacentral:tRNA from 1 species